CCUACGGGAGGCAGCAGUGGGGAAUCUUGCGCAAUGGGCGAAAGCCUGACGCAGCCAUGCCGCGUGAAUGAUGAAGGUCUUAGGAUUGUAAAAUUCUUUCACCGGGGACGAUAAUGACGGUACCCGGAGAAGAAGCCCCGGCUAACUUCGUGCCAGCAGCCGCGGUAAUACGAAGGGGGCUAGCGUUGCUCGGAAUUACUGGGCGUAAAGGGAGCGUAGGCGGAUAGUUUAGUCAGAGGUGAAAGCCCAGGGCUCAACCUUGGAAUUGCCUUUGAUACUGGCUAUCUUGAGUAUGGGAGAGGUAUGCGGAACUCCGAGUGUAGAGGUGAAAUUCGUAGAUAUUCGGAAGAACACCAGUGGCGAAGGCGGCAUACUGGCCCAUUACUGACGCUGAGGCUCGAAAGCGUGGGGAGCAAACAGGAUUAGAUACCCUGGUAGUCCACGCUGUAAACGAUGAGUGCUAGUUGUCGGCAUGCANNNAUGUGUGCGCAGCUACGCAUAAGACACNCCGCCGUCGGGAGGUACGGUCGCGAGAGUAAACGUACGAAGAAGUAGACGGCGUGAGACGUGCCGACGGACGACGACGAGGGAGGAGG
rnacentral:rRNA from 1 species